AGUUGGGUGAGGUCAAAAGUACUGGACGAGAGCUCUAUUUAUAGGCGCCGUGAGACGAGCUACGACAUUAACUCCAGCGAGCAAUUCCGAUGAUGUAGGAGCUUGGGCAGGAGGUUAGGUGGCUAGGAUCGAACCUAAUCACCACUUGGGUUCUAUUUUUGACCAGAGAUAGGCUGGUCAUCAACCGUGGCAACACGGCGACGACGCAGCCAUUGCUACGCACUACGGCUACAGAACCCAUGCUCUGAGCUGCAUAGUGCGUGGCGACGGCCUUCACGGUGUACAUUGU
rnacentral:lncRNA from 1 species